rnacentral:rRNA from 1 species
GGCCAGACUCCUACGGGAGGCAGCAGUGAGGAAUAUUGGUCAAUGGGCGGAAGCCUGAACCAGCCAAGUCGCGUGAGGGAAGAAGGCCCUGCGGGUCGCAGACCUCUUUGGACGGGGAGCAAGGCCGCCGACGUGUCGGCGGAAGGAGAGUACCCGUAGAACAAGCAUCGGCUAACUCCGUGCCAGCAGCCGCGGUAAUACGGAGGAUGCGAGCGUUAUCCGGAUUUAUUGGGUUUAAAGGGAGCGUAGAUGGGUUGUUAAGUCAGUUGUGAAAGUUUGCGGCUCAACCGUAAAAUUGCAAUUGAUACUGGCAGUCUUGAGUACAGUUGAGGUAGGCGGAAUUCGUGGUGUAGCGGUGAAAUGCUUAGAUAUCACGAAGAACCCCGAUUGCGAAGGCAGCUUACCGGCUCCACACUGACGCUGAGGCACGAAAGCGUGGGUAUCGAACAGGAUUAGAUACCCUGGUAGC